rnacentral:RNase_P_RNA from 1 species
GUGGGUAGAUGGUCGCUCCCGCUUUGGCGGGAGAGGAAAGUCCGAACACCACAAGGCAGCAUGCCGCGGAAAAACCCGCGGAGGGCCGGGGCGCAAGUCCCGGUCGAUGGAAAGUGUCACAGAAAAUAAACCGCCGCGGCGCGCUUGGACAGGCGGCGCGGUAAGGGUGAAAAGGCGGGGUAAAAGCCCACCGCCCGGAGGGCAACCUCCGGGGCACGAUAAACCCCAUGCGGUGCAAGGCCAAACAGAGACGCCGGGCCGCCUGCCCGGUGCCGGAUGAAAGUCCGGGACCCGUCUCGGGUAUCGGUCGCACGCGCGCGCUUGAACGGGCGCCGUCCGCCGGGGAGAAAUCCCGGCGGAAGAUGAAUGACCAUCGCCAGUGCGCCUUUAGCAAGCGCGCCGGAACAGAAUUCGGCUUACGCCCGCAAAA